UUUAAUAUACAUAUUUAAUGCAUUAUGCUGUUGGUUACAUUCUAAAUGUACAGUACGUCAUUACCGAAUAAUGGCAUAGACGGUGAUUUCUGAACAAAUAAGGAUUUUAAUUCAACCGAUAUCUAGACAUAUAACGUAUACGUUUGAAAAAGUUUUGUUGCACAUAGGAACACCAUAUCAGACAUAUACAGACUGACCUCUAAACAUUUCUUUCUAUUUUUAACCAUAGCUAUUACCAAGCCCGUGAAGUAAACAACACCUCAAACAAUUCAAAUAAAAAAAAAAAAUAAUUGUACUUUAAGCAAGUAGCACACUCGCUUUAGUAGUAGGACAUUUCUGAUCUGACAGAUAGCUAGACUUGCACUACAGUUAACCGGUACUUAGCUUGCAAAACACUUUUUCGAAACUAAGUAUGAACUAUGAUUACUGGAUAAAGGUACGAUGAAUUAUAACGGUAUACUUUAAAACGUAGUGAGCUGACUCGACACCGUGGCCGGCGUAGCCGGGCACACCCCUCGGAACCGCUGUGUACAGACAUAUAACAUACUACGUUUAAACAAAUUUUGUUUCACAAAGGCAAACCUUAACAGACAUUUAGCUGACUGUCCUCUAGACAUUUUUAUCUGUUUUCAACUCAUAAAGUUAAGCGGGACGACACCGGCCUAUAUUGAUGACGUGGUCUAUAAUAUAACUACUUUUACCAAAGACAAUUUCCAUUAUACACUUUUUCCCAAUGGCCAGCUUCUUAUCAAGUCUCUUUAACUUUUUAAAAUUUUAAUUUAAACUUAAUUUUAAACCUGUUACCUCCUCAUAGACUGUAGCCUACAAACCUACGAUAUUUUUAGUUGGCGGAGCGAAGCGACGGCGCCGAGCUCUAGUAGUUAUAUAUUUUUAUAAUAUAAGUGUACGAUGUAUUUAUAGCAAGUACAACAGAUUUAUCAAUCAUAACCAAUUCUCCUGAAUAUUAAACAAUUAAAAACGAGUCUAUUUGUUUCGCUCAUUGAACGGAAACACCUAAUUUACUCUUUUAUUAGUAUAACCAAAAUAUAAUAAUUGAAUUAUUAGAUGGGUUUACCUAUGAAAUGAGAUGUUUUCUUUUCUGCUCUCGUCGUUCUCGGGUCUUCCACAGAUAUAACAAAGGACCACUGCAAGUCGUAAAGCGAUUAAAAUCGAGCAAAAUAAUAUAUUUAAAUUUCAAUUAAUUAAGCAGCCGAGUUGAAUUGUGCUAGAACAAUAUUUAAAUUCACUUACUUUGCACACGGUGGUCGAUUGUAAAAUAAUUACCAGUACAACGGUGAAUGUAUAUUUUCCUAGAUGACAAAUAGAAGUUUUAACUUAGGCGGGUUUAACAGUGAACCGAGGGCAGGGCGGCCUGGGUUGGUACUCGCACGGAUGCAGUGUCGACUUGGCUCAUAUAAAUGACUUGCGCGUGGGCGUGGGUUUGAUAAAUCAAUAAAUGUUGACCAAGUGCUCGCAGUGUUUAAAUGCGCUCUACCGGAGGACGCCAUAGCUAAAACUAACACUCACAGCUUAUUUUAAACGGGUUUUACUAGAAAAAGUCGAUUAGUCAUUACUUAGUUUCAGCGGCUUCGAUCACAGUGCAAACAUAUUGUCUACAAUCAAACAGCAACAAUGCAUACAAUAUUUAUUUUUUGUUUUGCUUAAUAUAGGCUAUGUAGGCCCCUAGCUGUAACUACCACGUUUCUCUAUCGUUUUUUGUCUCUUGUCAUCUCUACUCCUAUAUACAUGAAGUUAUUUUAUUUGACAAUUCCCUUCUGCGCGCCAGACGACCACGUCUCAAAAAAAGCAUAUAAUGCAAUUGGUCUAAUAAGAACAUUAUACAUUGUUAUUUUUGAUUUUUUUAAAUAAGGUUUUGUCUUGAAGAGUGGUCUCAGCAUUCCAAAGCAUAUUUUUGCCGAAAUUCUUCUUUUUAGUUAUUUAUGCCCCCACUGGUUGUAUCUAGUCUCACUUCGAGAUACUUGCAUACAACAUUAUGAAAUUAUUUACACUAUGUACAAUCAUGUAAGAGGGCGUCGCACCGCCUAUUUUUAAAGAGUAAAGUAUAGGCAAUUUUUUACAAAAUCUUAAUUUAAAGGUUAAACUGUGAUGUGUAAUUAUUAGUUCAAUAACUAGGACUCUAUUUUGGUAGUUAAUUUAUUUUUUGGACUAUCACAGCAUCCUUAAAAGCGAUUUAAAAAUGAUUUUUCAUCUCUACAUGUUUAAGCAGACUGAAAAUAACUCGCUUAAUUUUGGUUUUAGAGUAAAUGCACCGAUUAUUAAAUUAAAAGAAAACAAUAUUCCGGAGGACAAGACGGUGCGUUUUUUUCAUUAUUCCAAGUAUAACGCUCAAUACCGGGUGAUUGCUUAACUAUGGACCACUCAAAAUCUUAGAAGAUAUUAGACUUUUUUAAUUAUUUUUUUUUUGUACUAUUAUAGUUAUUAGGUGGGACAAAUUUAAUGUAUUUUUCAAAAUUUUAACACCAUCCCUUAUGCGUUAAAACCAUAUCAACUUUAGAUUUUUAAAUGGUAACCCCCAAUUUUUUUUUGAUGAUCGUCUUUAUUUUUUUUAAAUUUAAUUUUAGGUGUAAAAACUAGGUAAAUCGAUUGAGUAGUUAACGAGCUACAGAGUUUUAAAAUUAAAGGGAGUGUAAAAAAUAAAUUAAAUAUCUUGGAGACGCUAACAUAUUAAGAUGACACUUGACUGCUCUCUGUUAUUAUUUAUUGGCAAUUAACUUUGACAAUAUCCAUAGUAGCGUUUAAAAAUCAUAACCGUACCAAACACUAUUUACUUUAGGUAAAUAAUUCACCGAUAGUAAAUAAUAAUGAUAACCGCUAUAUCGACUGACAAAUAUACCACCACUACACACUUUUACAUUUAUUUUGUAAAAUAGUAGGUAUGUUUAAUUUGUUAUCAAUACCUUGUGUAUAUUUUUCCAGCAUUUAGCAAUUAUUUGUUUUGGUUAAUUGACACAUUUUGUUUAUUCAUGCGAUUUGUACGUCUUAAUUUCAUAGUAUAUUAUAAUAAUAUAGUAUCAUAACUUACUAGUUCUAUGAACUUGUCAACAUUUAUUGUGUUUUAAAUAAUAACAUUGGUAUUAAAUAUCCAUAAUCAAUGUGAAUACCAAGAUGGAGUUUUGCUCAAGUGACAAGUCUAUAAAACCUAAAACCUUACUUAUAAAAUGUAUGCACAUCAAAUAUCAAAAUUAAAGUAUUAUGUCUUUGUUCUGAGAAACUUAUAAAUGUGUAGUUUUGUGUUUUAACAUAUUGGUAUCUGAAUACAAAGAAAAAAUAUAAAAAUUUUUAUGAAAAAAUUGAAUCUUCAAUCAUCAUUUACUGAAUCGAUAAUAGUAUGUUCAAUAUUAAUAUAGACUAUCUCAACUUAAAUUGAUAUUUGUUAUUGUCUACAACUACACUACUACCAACGUCAAAUUUGGUGAAUUAUAUUAUUGCAGUCAAUCAGUCUAAACCAAUUCCAUCAAUACAUUGUCGAAUGUUGUGGUAUUCAAUUUUCAGUAAAUUUAUAGGUGUUUUAUUUUAAGUUACUGUGGCACACUAUUGCAGAUAACGGUUUUCCAUUAAGUCAGUAAGAAGAAGAAGAAUAAGAUGGAUUCACAAGUUCAAAUCAAAUAUUAGACAACUAUAUAUAUUUAGUUAUUCAGCUAAAAAUGUAAUUCAAUAAAAUAAUUUAAAAGUACUUGAUCAUUUUAAAAGUUACAUAAAGUUUUUAUGUAAACUCUAAGUAUUUAAACACACAUAUA